rnacentral:lncRNA from 1 species
AUUCUCGGAGUUCCAGCUUCGCGGGAUCAGAGUCCCCUCCAGGGACUUCAAUUUGUACGCCCCUGGUCGUUGUACCCGGGCGAUUUGAUACGGCCCUUCCCAAUUUGGGGCGAGCUUUCCUUGCUCGGUCGGUUGAGAAGCCUCGGCUCUUCUGAGGACGAGGUCCCCCACUUUGAAGAGCUUGGGCUUGACUCUGGAGUUGUAGUAUUGGGCC